CACGUAGGAGGCGAGCGUUGUCCGGAAUCAUUGGGCGUAAAGAGCUCGUAGGCGGUUCGGUAAGUCAGAUGUAAAAACUCCAGGCUCAACUUGGAGAGGCCAUCUGAUACUGCCGUGACUAGAGUCCGGUAGAGGAGCACGGAAUUCCUGGUGUAGCGGUGAAAUGCGCAGAUAUCAGGAGGAACACCAGCGGCGAAGGCGCUGCUCUGGGCCGGUACUGACGCUGAGGAGCGAAAGCGUGGGGAGCGAACAGG
rnacentral:rRNA from 1 species